rfam:Gorilla gorilla gorilla genomic chromosome, chr14, whole genome shotgun sequence
AGCCUUUUGUAGUUCAUAAGCAUGAUGAUUGGGUUUUCACACUCAUAUGAGAUGUACCUCCCACAAACCUUUUUAUGAUGUUGGCACAUUACUCGUCUGAUA